UACGUAGGCAGCGAGCGUUGUUCGGAACUACUGGGCGUAAAGAGUGUGUAGGCGGUGCUCUAAGUUCGGUGUGAAAUCUCCUGCUUAACUGGGAGGGUGCGCCGGAAACUGGAGUGCUUGAGCGUGGGAGAGGAAAGCGGAAUUCCUGGUGUAGCGGUGAAAUGCGUAGAUAUCAGGAGGAACACCUGUGGUGUAGACGGCUUUCUGGACCAUAGCUGACGCUGAGACACGAAAGCGUGGGUAGCAAACAGG
rnacentral:rRNA from 1 species